rnacentral:rRNA from 1 species
UACGUAGGGUGCGAGCGUUAAUCGGAAUUACUGGGCGUAAAGCGUGCGCAGGCGGUUUUGUAAGCCAGAUGUGAAAUCCCCGGGCUUAACCUGGGAAUGGCAUUUGGGACUGCAAGGCUGGAGUGCGGCAGAGGAGACUGGAAUUCCUGGUGUAGCAGCGAAAUGCGUAGAUAUCAGGAGGAACACCGAUGGCGAAGGCAGGUCUCUGGGCUGACACUGACGCUCAUGCACGAAAGCGUGGGGAGCAAACAGG